CACGUAGGGUGCGAGCGUUGUCCGGAAUUAUUGGGCGUAAAGAGCUCGUAGGCGGUGUGUCGCGUCGGCCGUGAAAACCUGCAGCUCAACUGUGGGCUUGCGGUCGAUACGGGCAGGCUAGAGUUCGGUAGGGGAGACUGGAAUUCCUGGUGUAGCGGUGAAAUGCGCAGAUAUCAGGGAGGAACACCGGUGGCGAAGGCGGGACUCUGGGCCGAUACUGACGCUGAGGAGCGAAAGCGUGGGGAGCAAACAGG
rnacentral:rRNA from 1 species